AGUUGAUGUUUUAGGUGGUUUUCCCCAGGAGCUCGACCAAGGUGCGUCUGGCUGACUCGGCAGUUAGGCUCCGCCUCCCCUAACUACACUUUUAUUCCCUUUGUUCACAAAUGAUGUUUGGGCUUCAGUAGAAGAUUGUGCUUGUCCCGUUCUAAAUAUGAUAAAAAUGAGGCUUGAGUAUUAAUCUGUGGUUGAAUAUUGAUGUCUCCUAUUGGAUAUGAUAUUGGAACAAAGGGCUUGUCCAUAUUAAAGGACUCCUUAUCUAUGAGGGAAUCAGGACAUAUGGCAAGUGAGAGAGUUAGUUCAUACUGAAGUCAGACUUCCAGGCCACUUGUGUGUGACUACUCACACAUGGCAGAGUGGCUCUGUUGGGGUCCCAGCUUCAAAGAGGAAUUUGGGUUGUAAGCUCUGACCUCCCAUGCAAUCAAAUUAGCCCCACUUGAAAAUUUAUUUUAGGAGUGUUUUAGAAUAUUGUAUAUUUUUCUGUCAAGGAUCCAGGGAGGAAAAGCCCUGUAUUAUUGUAUGAGAGACCCCAUGUAGGGGAAGCAGU